UACAGAGGUCCCAAGCGUUGUUCGGAUUCAUUGGGCGUAAAGGGUGCGUAGGUGGCGCUGUAAGUCGGGUGUGAAAUUUCGGAGCUUAACUCCGAAACUGCAUUCGAUACUGCGGUGCUUGAGGACUGGAGAGGAGACUGGAAUUCAUGGUGUAGCAGUGAAAUGCGUAGAGAUCAUGAGGAAGACCAGUGGCGAAGGCGGGUCUCUGGGCAUCUCCUGACGCUGAGGCGCGAAAGGCGUGGGGAGCAAACGGG
rnacentral:rRNA from 1 species